AUACGGAGGAUGCAAGCGUUAUCCGGAUUUAUUGGGUUUAAAGGGUGCGUAGGCUGUUUUCCAAGUCAGCGGUGAAAUGCCGGGGCUCAACCCCGGAACUGCCAUUGAUACUGGGAGGCUUGAAUGCGGAUGCCGUGGGAGGAAUGAGUAGUGUAGCGGUGAAAUGCAUAGAUAUUACUCAGAACACCGAUGGCGAAGGCAUCGGACGAAUCCGUCACUGACGCUGAGGCACGAAAGCGUGGGGAUAGAACAGGAUUAGAUACCCUGGUAUUCCACGCCGUAAACGAUGAUGACUAACCGUCGGCGAUAGACAGCCGGUGGCCAAGCGAAAGCGAUAAGUCAUCCACCUGGGGGGUACGUCGGCAACGAUGAAACUCAAAGGAAUUGACGGGG
rnacentral:rRNA from 1 species